rnacentral:lncRNA from 1 species
UGAAGAUCAUUUUUAGAUGAGACUAACAUUUAAAUUGGUGGAUUUUAAGUAAAGCAGAUUACCCUCCAUAAUGCGCGGGCCUCAUCCAGUCAGUUGAGAGCCUUAAGAGAAAAAAGAUGGUGCCCUGAGAAAGCGGGAAUUCUGCUGCCAGCCUGCCUUCAGACUUGAGCCGCAUUGUCAGCUUUUCUCUGGGUCCUCAGCUUGACAGCCCGCCCUGCAGAUUUUGGACAUUCCAGCCUCUACAGUCAUGAGGAUUUCCUACACAGCACAAUUGGGCUCCUGAGACAUCUACACAGUUAUACAUCUGAAGGUGGGUGGAUUGGAUCCCUGGGAAACAGUAGAACUAGGUUGUUUAUAUUUCUGUUGGACUACAUUUUGGAUUUUGUAAAUUCAAGAGGAAAACAUGCAUCAGAUCCGUUUAUUUAAAGCAAUGUAGUGAUCAGAAGAACAAUUGAUUAUUUAAAGGUAAAUGGAUUUGGUCAGCAAAAUCAAAUGAUCUUGGAAACAUCAGCUUGAUAAACAUACAAAUGAACUUUAACCUGUGCUAAAUGCUUUUUAUUUCCUGAGAAUUAUUGAACAACGUUUUCAGGGAAAGUUAAAUAGAUUCACUACAAACUGUUACAUCUAGACUCUUUUUCAAUUUACACAAGGUUAUAUAUUGUUAUGGCAAAAUGAUACUAUUUUAAUAUAUUUCAUUUCAAUAUAUUAGUUCAGAAACUUUAUUCUGUGCUAUUUACAUUUCAAAUGUCUUAAGCAUAGAGAAGAAAAUUGAAUGUCCUAUUAGGGGAGAUAUUUAAGCAUCUAAACUUUAAUCUUAUUGUUAAAUACAUGGGUUUAGGCAUUUCUUCAAAAAAAAAAAAAAGAAAGGUAUAGAUUUGUAAGUAUAAGUAAAGGCACCAAAUCAAAUCCUGGAAGGGAAACUUCAGAGGGUUAGAAGAGGUUCAAAUAUAUGCAUCAGGAUCUCAACC